UGGGGAAUUUUGGACAAUGGGGGAAACCCUGAUCCAGCCAUCCCGCGUGUGCGAUGAAGGCCUUCGGGUUGUAAAGCACUUUUGGCAGGAAAGAAACGUCAUGGGUUAAUACCCCGUGAAACUGACGGUACCUGCAGAAUAAGCACCGGCUAACUACGUGCCAGCAGCCGCGGUAAUACGUAGGGUGCAAGCGUUAAUCGGAAUUACCGGGCGUAAAGCGUGCGCAGGCGGUUCGGAAAGAAAGAUGUGAAAUCCCAGAGCUCAACUUUGGAACUGCAUUUUUAACUACCGGGCUAGAGUGUGUCAGAGGGAGGUGGAAUUCCGCGUGUAGCAGUAAAAUGCGUAGAUAUGCGGAGGAACACCGAUGGCGAAGGCAGCCUCCUGGGAUAACACUGACGCUCAUGCACGAAAGCGUGGGGAGCAAACAGG
rnacentral:rRNA from 1 species